rnacentral:lncRNA from 1 species
UCAAAAUUAAAGUAAAAAUUAAAAAAAAAAAUAUAUAUAUAUAUAAAGAAGAUAUUAUUAUUUAAUAUUAUGAGUACGCGAAUUUUGGCAUACAUAACAACAACAACAAAAAAUAUAUAAGUUAGAACCAAAACAAAAAAACGACCUAAAACCACAACAACAACAAAUUAAUUGCAAAUUAGAAAGUUGUAUAAGACAAAAAGUAAAACAAUUAAGCAAACAAAAAAAAAACAUUUAAGUAUUAACAACUUAACAACCAUUUUUCAAAACGAACUCUACUCAAUUUCAUUCUGCGCUAAUUGAUACUCAAGUUUACUUGAAAUUUUUGAAAGAAAAAAACACAAACUGUUAUAGACUCAAUACUCUUGACGAAGUUUACAAAUAUACUCUUUAACAUAGACCGUAUGAUGCAAAUUAAAAACUAACCUUACAUAAAUUUCACAAACCAAAAGAAUUAGUUCGUUCUCCUAAUUCAAGUAAUUAAUAAAACCUUUAUGUAUGUACUCGUAAAUGCAACCUCAACCACAGCAUUGCUGCACUAAUUGCAAAACCAUACUUAAAAAAUCAUACCAAAAAAAAGCAGGAAAUUGCAUUUCGAAUUGAACAAAUCAGGCAAACUACAGCAAAUCGAAUCCUGUUUACUGUUAAUUGGAAUUUGUUAUUGAUAUUGGCAAAUUGAUAUUUACAUAAAAGCAAGCUAUGAGACACAUUUUUCAAGAAACAGCGGCUAAUCUGUACAAUUUCUUUCUUUUACUCAACUCCCUCCCAAAAAAAAAAAUAAAAAUAAAAUAAAACUUCCAAAACACACAAUGAGCCCUAUCCUCUGAGAUAACACAGAAACGAAGAAACUGCAAAUUUAUGGUUUUUUGUUAAAUCAUUUAUGUUUGUACAUAAAAAAAGUGCAAGUAAACGGCAGAAAAACACAAAUUAAAGUUAUGACAUAAAAGAGACAAAUCGCAUUUGCAUUCAAGUUUGUAAUGAGUAAGCAAGAAUGUUGUCGACACACACUAACUAGCCUUAACAGCAACAACACCGAAACAACAAAGAAACAAGCAAACAAAAAACAUCCAACCAGGCUUACAACUACAACAACAACUAGCCAACAUCUGGUCUGACUUAACAUGAAUCCAUAUUGAAAUACGAAGUGAGUGCUGUAACGAUUCCACCCACAUUCAACCAAGAGGCUACACAACAAUUCAGCGAUUUGCACUCCAAAAGCGAAUACAUUUGUAACUUUGUGCGUUCGUUUUUCUUUACCGAAUUAUUACUUAUGUACUUAUGUGUACUAACUUAGCCGUAUACUUGUGUAACUAUCCAUACUUUAUGUACUCUAUGUUUGACUUUAUGUAGUCGCAAUUGAUUGCGCCUGUUAGGAUGUCCUACGUUCAUAUUUUUAUCAAUAUUUACAUUCAAGCAAUAUGUUUUUUGUAAUAUCACAAAGUAAACUUCUAUAAUGCCGAGUUUGCACGUGGCAUUCAAUGACAAAAUUCACCAAAAAAAGGCAAUGGCACUUAAAGCGAAUGUUAUAUGGAAACUGAUGAUUGCAGUACUUGUUGGAAGUCAACGGGGAAGAAGGACUGAAAUUUUGUCAAUACAAUGCCUAGUGAAAAUUCGGCUUAACCAAAUAUGGAAAUUUUCUAAGGUUAGCAUCGAGAAAAUUCUGUCUUUAAUUUUUACUUUUACUUAUUUGUCUGUUAGUGAUAAUUUUUCGCAAAGGUCAAGAUUAAACAAACAUCCUUCUUUUCCAAAUUAAUAAAUAAAGUUAAUCGGUAAACACUAUAUCUAUGAAACUUAAACUCUAUUCGCAAUACACUUAAUUUCGUUUGAAUUACGCUAGUUAGGUAAAUUGCGUUCAAUUCUGUGCUGACGUUGCAUACUUUUAGGCACAAAAUAAUCAAGUGAUGAAUGAGCCUCAUAAUAGGCCUGGAUACUCCAUUACAUUUCACGCAUUCUAUUGUAUAACGUUAAUGUAGAUGAAAGUUCUUCAACACAGAAAAUCAGCCACGUAAUGGUCUUUUAAGUUUGACAGGGGGAAUAGGGCAGGGGCAUUGAAAUUUUUUGUGUAAUGUACAUAGUUUCCCAAACUAAUUUUUUUGUAAAAACCUAAAAAAAAUUUAAAAAGCUUCUUAUGCUGGAUUUCUACUAGGCGUAAAAAGGCACAAAUGCCAAAUCACAAAGUCGGACAUUAACCAAUAAUCGUGUUAGUAUGUACUUUAAAAAAUUGUCAUUAAGUUCAUUUCCACAUGUCAUUUUUUAAUUGGCAUACAUUUUUUGUAAUUUCAAUGCCUAGUGGAAAUUCGAUAAUACGCAGCCCAUAUUUUGGUCGUGGCUGUGUUUUUAAACGAUAACCACGUAGAGCUUUUACGCCGAAUGCGUGCAUAUAAAAUUGUAUUUCAACGAUAAGCAGAGAGAGCUUUUACGCUGAAGGCGUACAUAUAAAAUUUAAUUUAAAUUUUAAAAAGCUUUUCCCACUGCAUAUAUGUAUGUAUGUAUUUCGAUCGCGACUGCUGUAUUUUAGCUGUAAGAGUGUUCGUAUG